UACGUAGGGGGCAAGCGUUAUCCGGAUUUACUGGGUGUAAAGGGGGCGCAGACGGCGAUGCAAGCCAGGAGUGAAAGCCCGGGGCCCAACCCCGGGACUGCUCUUGGAACAGCGUGGCUGGAGUGCAGGAGGGGCAGGCGGAAUUCCUGGUGUAGCGGUGAAAUGCGUAGAUAUCAGGAGGAACACCGGUGGCGAAGGCGGCCUGCUGGACUGCAACUGACGUUGAGGCCCGAAAGCGUGGGGAGCAAACAGG
rnacentral:rRNA from 1 species